rnacentral:lncRNA from 1 species
AAAUAUAUGUUUUAUUUAUGAAUGUAUCUUCUUACUUAAAAUUUAUAAUUUCAAUAAAUAAGUGUUGACUGCAAUGGUACAUUAUACUUGUAACAGGCCCAAUUUAUCCACCCCGUUAUAAGCCAAAAUUAAAAAAAAUAAUAAAACCAAAUAAAAUUAAUAUUCCAAAUAUCUACAAUCCAAAUUACAAGGAUUCAAAGCCCAACAACAAAAAUUAAACAGGCCCAGCAAUAAACCUAACCCAAACCCUAGAACCCAAUUACAUUGGCUCAAGUGGCCCAAAGGUCAAACUAUUCUCAAGAUACCCUAGGGUUUCCACUUUUGCGCCGCAACCAACCCCAACGCCACUUGUGCCUCCACGUUGGCCUCCGCGCGCCCACAGCCACAACCACCUCGACACGUACCCUCUCUGUACCUCUGUACAUGCCAAUGCACACCCCCGUACCUGCAUGAAAACACAAGAAGACAAUAGCAAAAAGGGGAACAAAAAAAAAAUCUUUGUAUUCGGUUAUAAAAAGAAAAGGAAUCAUCUUGUAUUUUUUUUUACACAGAAAUCAAUAGCAAUCGAAAACAGAAACAAUAUUGGCAAAAAAAAGAAGGUGAUUUUUCAUUUUAUUUCGCGAGUUUAUUCCAGAUAUAGUGCUCACAUACAUAUUUUUUUAAAAAAUAAGAUUCUUCUCACCUUCUUUGGGUCGGGGAAGUGGCUCUCUCCGAUUUUCUAGAGGGUUUUUAUUUGUUUUAAACUCAGAUUUGAGGUGAGGAGAGCGAGGAGAUUAAAAGAGGGUUAGUUUCGUACCUCCGACCGUCGUACACGACGGUCGUUAGCGACGGACGGACAGUGGUCCGAUCGCCGGAAACGGAGGCCCCAGAGAGAAACCCAGAACUCAUUUUCUUUUUUUGUUUUAAAUCACAGCUGAAAUGAGGUUUUUUUAAAAAAAA